ensembl:lncRNA
UUAAAUGGGGGAUUCUCAGAGAUAAAACAGUUGAUAUUCAAUGAAAUGGGGGUUUUCCGAAGAGAAAAUGUGUGAUUUUCGCUUAAAUGUGGGAUGUUUGAAAAGAAAUCUCAUGAUUUUCGCUUAAAUGGGGGAUUUCCGAGAAGAAAACACGUGAUUUUCACUUAAAUGGCAGAUUUCUGAAGAGAAAACGCGUGAUUUUCACUUAAAUGGGGGAUUUCCGAAGAGAAAACACAGGAUUAUCGCUUAAAUGGGGGAUUUUCAAAGAUAAAAUGCAUGAUUUUCGCUUAAAUGCGGGAUUUGCGAUGAGAAAACGCAUAAUUUUUGCUUAAAUGGGGGAUUUCUGAUGAGAAACUGUGUGAUUUUUCUUUAAUGAGGGAUUUCCGAAUAGAAAACGCGUGAUAUUUGCUUAAAUGUAGGAUUCUCGGAGAUAAAUCAUGUGAUAUCCGAUUAAAAGGGGGAUUUCCGAAAAGAAAACUCGUGAUUUUUGCUUAAAUGGGGGAUUUCUGAUGAGAAAACGCGUGAUAUUUGCUUAAAUGGUGGAUUUCUGAAGAGGAAACACGACAUUUUCGCUAAAAUGGGGGAUUCUCGGAGAUAAAUCACGUGAUAUCCGAUUAAAAGGGGGAUUUCCGAAAAGAAAACCCGUGAUUUUUGCUUAAAUGGGGGAUUUCUGAUGAGAAAAC